rnacentral:rRNA from 1 species
CAGCCGCCGCGGUAAUACGUAGGGCGCGAGCGUUGUCCGGAAUCAUUGGGCGUAAAGCGCGUGUAGGCGGCUGAGUAAGUCUGCUGUGAAAGUCCAGGGCUCAACCCUGGAAUGUCGGCGGAUACUGCUCAGCUGGAGCACGGGAGGGGCGAGUGGAAUUCCUGGUGUAGCGGUGGAAUGCGCAGAUAUCAGGAGGAACACCUAUGGCGAAGGCAGCUCGCUGGAACGUUACUGACGCUGAGACGCGAAAGCGUGGGGAGCAAACAGGAUUAGAUACCCAGUAGUCCCUGUCUCUUAUACA